GCCCUUAAAGAAAUAAAAGGUGUCACCUGCCCAAUGGUUAUUAAGUAAGAAAAUUAAACUUUUCUUAAAAUAAUUUAAAGGACGCGGUAUCCUGACCGUGAUAAUGUAGCAUAAUCACUCGCCAUUUAAUUGAUGGAUAGUAUGAAUGGUUAAACGAAUAUAACACUGUCUCUAAUAGAAAAUUUAUAAAAUUGGAAUAAUAGUAAAGAUACUAUUUAAAACUGUAAGACGAAAAGACCCUAUAGAGCUUAACUAUAAUCUUUAAUAUAAUAAAUUAAGUUUACUUAUAUAAUGAUUAAAGAUAGGUAGUUUAGUUGGGGCGACUGUCUUUUAUAAUAAACAAAGACAAGCAAUAUUAAUAAAAUAAUUUACUGUAUAAAUAAUAAUUUUAACAGUUAUUAACAUAGGCUAUAAUGACCCGUUUAUAUAUUAAAUAUUAAUAAACGAUCAAUAAAUAAAAGCUACCUUAGGGAUAACAGGAUAAUUUCAUUUUAGAGUCCCGAUCGAAAAUGAAGUUUGUCACCUCUAUGUUGAAUUAAGAUAUCCUAAUAAUGCAGAAGUUAUUAAAGGUAGGUCUGUUCGACCUUUAAAAUCUU
rnacentral:rRNA from 1 species